rnacentral:rRNA from 1 species
AAAAGAAACCAACAGGGAUUGCCUUAGUAGCGGCGAGUGAAGCGGCAAAAGCUCAAAUUUGAAAUCUGGCACUUUCAGUGUCCGAGUUGUAAUUUUGAAGAAGGUAUCUUUGGGUCUGGCUCUUGUCUAUGUUUCUUGGAACAGAACGUCACAGAGGGUGAGAAUCCCGUGCGAUGAGAUGUCCCAGACCUAUGUAAAGUUCCUUCGAAGAGUCGAGUUGUUUGGGAAUGCAGCUCUAAGUGGGUGGUAAAUUCCAUCUAAAGCUAAAUAUUGGCGAGAGACCGAUAGCGAACAAGUACAGUGAUGGAAAGAUGAAAAGAACUUUGAAAAGAGAGUGAAAAAGUACGUGAAAUUGUUGAAAGGGAAGGGCUUGAGAUCAGACUUGGUAUUUUGUAUGUUACUCUCUCGGGGGUGGCCUCUACAGUUUACCGGGCCAGCAUCAGUUUGAGCGGUAGGAUAAGUGCAAAGAAAUGUGGCACUGCUUCGGUAGUGUGUUAUAGUCUUUGUCGAUACUGCCAGCUUAGACUGAGGACUGCGGCUUCGGCCUAGGAUGUUGGCAUAAUGAUCUUAAGUCGCCC